ensembl:lncRNA
GGUGUUAGAUUACUCAGCUGUUCUAGUGGUCUGAGGCAGGUGUUAGAUUACUCAGCUGUUCUAGUGGUCUGAGGCAGGUGUUAGAUUACUCAGCUGUUCGCGUGGUCUGAGGCAGGUGUUAGAUCACUCAGCUGUUCUAGUGGUCUGAGGCAGGUGUUAGAUUACUCAGCUGUUCUAGUGGUCUGAGGCAGGUGUUAGAUUACUCAGCUGAUCUAGUGGUCUGAGGCAGGUGUUAGAUUACUCAGCUGAUCUAGUGGUCUGAGACAGGUGUUAGAUUACUCAGCUGUUCUAUUGGUCUGAGACAGCAGGUGUUAGAUUACUCAGCUGUUCGAGUGGUCUGAGACAGGUGUUAUAUUACUCAGCUGUUCUAGUGGUCUGAGGCAGGAGGUAGAUCAAUCAGCUGUUCUAGUAGUCUGAGGCAGGUGGUAGAUUACUCAGCUGUUCUCGUGGUCUGAGGCAGGAGGUAGAUUACUCAGCUGUUCGCGUGGUCUGAGGUGUUAGAUUACUCAGCUGUUCUAGUGGUCUGAGGCAGGAGGUGUUAGAUCACUCAGCUGUUCGAGUGGUCUGAGGCAGGUGUUAGAUUACUCAGCUGUUCUAGUGGUCUGAGACAGGUGUUAGAUUACUCAGCUGUUCUAGUGGUCUGAGGCAGGUGUUAGAUUACUCAGCUGUUCGAGUGGUCUGAGGCAGGUGUUAGAUUACUCAGCUGUUCUAGUGGUCUGAGGCAGGUGUUAGAUUACUCAGCUGUUCUAGGGGUCUGAGGCAGGAGGUGUUAGAUUACUCAGCUGUUCUAGGGGUCUGAGGCAGGAGGUGUUAGAUUACUCAGCUGUUCUAGUGGUCUGAGGCAGGAGGUGUUAGAUUACUCAGCUGUUCUAGUGGUCUGAGGCAGGAGGUGUUAGAUCACUCAGCUGUUCUAGUGGUCUGAGGCAGGAGGUGUUAGAUUACUCAGCUGUUCUUGUGGUCUGAGGCAGGUGUUAGAUCACUCAGCUGUUCGCGUGGUCUGAGGCAGGUGUUAGAUUACUCAGCUGUUCUAGUGGUCUGAGGCAGGUGUUAGAUUACUCAGCUGUUCUAGUGGUCUGAGGCAGGUGUUAGAUUACUCAGCUGAUCUAGUGGUCUGAGGCAGGUGUUAGAUUACUCAGCUGUUCGCGUGGUCUGAGACAGGUGUUAGAUUACUCAGCUGUUCUAUUGGUCUGAGACAGCAGGUGUUAGAUUACUCAGCUGUUCUAGUGGUCUGAGGCAGGUGGUAGAUUACUCAGCUGUUCUAGUGGUCUGAGGCAGGUGUUAGAUUACUCAGCUGUUCUAGUGGUCUGAGGCAGGUGUUAGAUUACUCAGCUGUUCUAGUGGUCUGAGGCAGGUGUUAGAUUACUCAGCUGUUCUAGUGGUCUCAGGCAGGUGGUAGAUUACUCAGCUGUUCUAGUGGUCUGAGACAGGUGUUAGAUUACUCAGCUGUUCUAGUGGUCUGAGACAGGUGUUAGAUUACUCAGCUGUUCUAGUGGUCUGAGGCAGGUGUUAGAUUACUCAGCUGUUCUAGUGGUCUGAGGCAGGUGUUAGAUUACUCAGCUGUUCUAGUGGUCUGAGGCAGGUGUUAGAUUACUCAGCUGUUCUAGUGGUCUGAGGCAGGUGUUAGAUUACUCAGCUGUUCUAGUGGUCUGAGGCAGGUGUUAGAUUACUCAGCUGUUCUAGUGGUCUGAGACAGGUGGUAGAUUACUCAGCUGUUCUAGUGGUCUGAGACAGGUGUUAGAUUACUCAGCUGUUCUAGUGGUCUGAGGCAGGUGUUAGAUUACUCAGCUGUUCUAGUGGUCUGAGGCAGGUGGUAGAUUACUCAGCUGUUCUAGUGGUCUGAGGCAGGUGGUAGAUUACUCAGCUGUUCUAGUGGUCUGAGACAGGUGUUAGAUUACUCAGCUGUUCUAGUGGUCUGAGGCAGGUGUUAGAUUACUCAGCUGUUCUAGUGGUCUGAGGCAGGUGGUAGAUUACUCAGCUGUUCUAGUGGUCUGAGGCAGGUGGUAGAUUACUCAGCUGUUCUAGUGGUCUGAGACAGGUGUUAGAUUACUCAGCUGUUCUAGUGGUCUGAGGCAGGUGGUAGGUUACUCAGCUGUUCUAGUGGUCUGAGGCAGGUGGUAGAUUACUCAGCUGUUCUAGUGGUCUGAGACAGGUGUUAAAUUACAAGCGUUUUCAAUUGUAACGUUAAUAUUAUUACAUUGUGAUGUGUCGUGGAAUUAUCAGAAUUGGUUGGUAACAUUUGUAAGAUGUUUUAUAUCAAAUGUGUGUAGGUUAUUUCUCAUAAGAAUGUAUUUUGUUGUACUAUAGUGGUGGCCAUUGGCAGUUAUCUGUUCUAUGUCAGGACUAAGUUGCAUGGGCCGCAGAGAGGGGAGAGGUCAAAGUGUCAUCAUGUGUAAACAUGUCUUUUACUCCCUACCUUUCCCAGUGGGGAAAGGAAGGUUGCAGUGUCUGGAAUCAUUCUAUGCUCCCUCUUUGUUGACCUGUAGGGUCAGUCUCCUAUCUGUGUUUCCCUCUUAUGUUGUUUCUAUCUUAACCUUUAGCCUCACCCUCCUCUCCGUGAGUUUGUCCAAUAGUUUGUAUUUUGAGUGGGUUGUAUAUAAAUGACAAUUUGAUAUAUGCCUGUUGAUAUGGAGGAAUUGGUUUAUGGUUCUGGGGUUUGGGAAAGGAGACAAAGCUGAACGAUGAGUUAUGUCUAUGCUGUCUGACUAUGUGUGUCUUUGCUAUUAAAAGGAACUCAGUUGCAUUGUAAGGGGACUCUCAGAGAAUUCACUGGGGAGACACUGAAUUUAUCUGAGAGUCACAGGAUUGUGAUAGAGCUCGUAUAAUUAAAGAUGGACUUUUAUAACUAACUCUGACGUGUGUGUGUGGUUUGCUCCCAUGAUUUGGUAAAUAG